rnacentral:rRNA from 1 species
UGAGGAAUAUUGGUCAAUGGACGCAAGUCUGAACCAGCCAAGUAGCGUGCAGGAAGACGGCCCUCUGGGUUGUAAACUGCUUUUAGUUGGGAAUAAAAAGAGGGACGUGUCCCUUAUUGUAUGUACCAUCAGAAAAAGGACCGGCUAAUUCCGUGCCAGCAGCCGCGGUAAUACGGAAGGUCCAGGCGUUAUCCGGAUUUAUUGGGUUUAAAGGGAGCGCAGGCGGCGGCGUAAGUCAGUUGUGAAAUCGUGCGGCUUAACCGUGCAAUUGCAGUUGAUACUGCGUCGCUUGAGUGCACACAGGGAUGUUGGAAUUCAUGGUGUAGCGGUGAAAUGCUUAGAUAUCAUGAAGAACUCCGAUCGCGAAGGCAUAUGUCCGGAGUGCAACUGACGCUGAGGCUCGAAAGUGUGGGUAUCAAACAGG